CUAAAACACACAAAGACCCAACAAAGAGAACUUCGAACCAAUUUUCCUUAUGAAUAUUAAUGCAAAAAUACUCAAUAAAAUUCUCGCAAACCGAAUCCAAGAACACAUCAAAACAAUCAUCCAUUAUGAUCAAGUAGGCUUCAUCCCAGGGAUACAGGGAUGGGUUCAAUAUACAGAAAUCCAUCAACGUAAUCCACUAUAUAAACAAACUCAAAGAAAAAAAAGCCACAGAUGACAAAACUCAAAGAAAAAAAACACAGAUGACAAAAUUCAACAUCCUUUCAUGAUAAAAGUCUUGGAAAGAUCAGGAAAUGGCUUAUGCUCUAAGAUCAAGAAUCGACAAAUGGGACUUCAUAAAACUGCAAAGCUUCUGUAAGGCAAAGGACAAUGUCAAUGGGACAAAACAGCAACCAACAAAUUGGGAAAAGAUCUUUAUCAAUCCUACAUCUCAUAGUGGGGUAAUAUCAAAUAUAUACAAAGAACUCAAGAAGUUAGACUCCAGAGAAUCAAAUAACCCUAUUAAGAAAUGGGAAACAGAGCUAAACAAAGAAUUCUCAGGUGAGGAAUACCAAAUAGCUGAGAAGCACCUAAAGAAAUGUUCAACAUUCUUCAUCAGGGAAAUGCAAAUAACAACAACUCUGAGAUUCCACCUCACACCAGUCAGAAUGGCUAAGAUCAAAAACUCAGGUGACAGCAAAUGCUG
rnacentral:lncRNA from 1 species